rnacentral:tRNA from 1 species
GCCGGAUUGGCGGAAUUGGCAGACGCGGGGCACUCAAAAUGCUCUGUCCGUGAGGGCUUAAGGGUUCGAGUCCCUUAUCCGGCACCC